rnacentral:lncRNA from 1 species
CGACAAAAAAAAUACCAUAUUUUGGGCGGUAGGGUUGUUAGAGAACACAAUAUGGGUUAAAAAUAUAUAUAUAUAUUUUUUAAUCAUAUUUUCCUAUUUUUAUUUGUUCAUGUUUUGGGAAAAACUCGAUCAUUUAAUUGUUGUUGUCAUUUAUAGCCUAGAAUAUGGGACUGUUUAAUUUUUCUCUCCGCUGCAAAGUGUCAGCUCAGCACAUGUUGCCUUAUAGUUGCUCCACCUUGCUUUGUCUCCUGGAAGGUGCUGUCUAGACACUGACGAAAUCAGACGAGACGAACAAAUAACGGAGCUAAAACAAGAAUGUAGCGCCACCUAUUGGUGGUAUUAUAUAUUACGAUCUAUACAAUGAUUUCUUCAAAACGCCGAAGUUGUACUGUAGUGAUGAAUGAGCCAGCCAGGUCUUUUUUUUGGAUGCCACCAAGGCCACAUUUCGUGCUGUUUUCCCAGAGGAGGAUGGAGGGUCAUGGAGGAAGAGGUGCAUCUCCUUCGGGGCAGAUGGUGCCUCCUUGACCCUGGGCCACCGUGGGGGAGUGACUGCACCACCUGCAGAGAGAGGCAGGGGGGGCAUAUAAUCCCAAAUCCACUGUAUGCCACAUAGGUUUGUAACUAAUAAAUUCUCUAUGAUUUAGUUUUAUUUGCUAGCAGAGAAUGUUAAACAAUACUGUGUGUGUGUGUGCGUCCGCUAACUGCUGGAAUGGUAAAUACCACAGAAUUAUUGUUUUCUGUUGGCACAAGAGACAGUUGGGAAGGAGGGUGUCCAGACCCCAGUGGAGUCUUUCAGAGUGCUAAACCCCUGACGCAUGGCCAGAAGACCAGGCCAACCUUCACACCUUUGACGAUGAUGUUGUGGCAGACCUGAUGAGGCAUUAUCACGGAGCCUCUAGAGAGGUAAGAAUUUAUUUGACACUGCAUUGCCAUAUAUGAGACAAUGUUACUCACUUGCUCUGUUCAAUCCUGCAGAUCGGGGUGCAACAUGGCUGCUAUCCAGGAUGAGUGACAGGGGCUCAAAAUCCUGGUCAGCCACAAUUUCAAGGACAAGUCCUACAGUGUGGGCGUGUGGGAGACCAUGUUGACAAAGUGUAACCGAUGUGAAAUGGCUAGCUAGUUAGCGGUGGUGCGCGCUAAUAGCGUUUCAAUCGGUGACGUCACUCGCUCUGAGACCUUGAAGUAGUUGUUCCCCUUGCUCUGCAAGGGCCGUGGCUUUUUGUGGAGCGAUGGGUAACGAUGCUUCGAGGGUGGCUGUCGUUGAUGUGUGCAGAGGGUCCCUGGUUCGAGCCCAGGUAGGGUUGCGAGGAGAGGGAUGGAAGCUAUACUGUUACAAAAGGACCCCUACAGGCACAAUUACAAGGUAGACUAAGACGAGGAGUUGGAUCCCACUCCUGCCGUGGACCUCCUGGCUGACCUCUAGCUGACCAGACGGCCAACAUACAGAAGCAGCUGGACAACUGAUAUCCUUUGCGUCUAAUAGACACGGGGUCAAUGUGUGAUUUUUGGUGGUAUGUGCUGUUCCACAGAUGUGUGUCUCUUAGUACACGCACACACACACACA